UACGUAGGGGGCAAGCGUUGUCCGGAUUUAUUGGGCGUAAAGAGCGUGUAGGCGGCCAAGCAGGUCCGCUGUGAAAACUCGAGGCUCAACCUCGAGACGUCGGUGGAAACCGUUUGGCUAGAGUCCGGAAGAGGAGAGUGGAAUUCCCGGUGUAGCGGUGAAAUGCGCAGAUAUCGGGAAGAACACCCGUGGCGAAGGCGGUUCUCUGGGACGGUACUGACGCUGAGACGCGAAAGCGUGGGGAGCGAACAGG
rnacentral:rRNA from 1 species